GUGUCAGCAGCCGCGGUAAUACGUAGGGGGCGAGCGUUGUCCGGAGUUACUGGGCGUAAAGCGUCCGCAGGCGGUCGGUCAAGUUUGGAGUGACAGUUCCCGGCUUAACUGGGAAAGCGCUUCGAAAACUGGUCGACUUGAGGGCUUCAGAGGGACACGGAAUUCCGGGUGUAGUGGUGAAAUGCGUAGAUAUCCGGAGGAACACCAAAGGCGUAGGCAGUGUCCUGGGAAGUUCCUGACGCUCAUGGACGAAAGCCAGGGGAGCGAACGGGAUUAGAUACCCCGGUAGUCC
rnacentral:rRNA from 1 species